CACUGUGCUCAACGGCUUUGCGAUAUCUUCAUUCUUGAACGGAUCGUCAACCGACUCGGACGUAUCUCCCAUUUCGACUGUACGGAAGUUUAUCAAACCGUUUGUGGAAAGUGUUUCUGGUACAAAAUCGACCGACGCGAACAUGAUCGGUACAGCUAAGGUGUUAUCGGGUGUAGAAGUGUCCAAAGAUAUUCGUGACAAAUUGAAGAAAGAUGUGAGUGAAAUUAGGAAUAAGAUUCCUACCCUGGUGCCAGGAUUGGCCAUUGCUGAAGUCGGUGGUCGGGAAGAUUCAAACGUGUACAUCCACAUGAAGAUUAAGGCCGCUGAAGAGAUUGGGAUCUAUGCUGAACACGUGCAGUUGCCCGUCAACAACGCAGGAUGAACUUCUGACAGUGCACCCUCCACACUACUGCCUCCAACGUGCCAAACACAACAUACACUGCUACAACCCUUGAGCCGUUGCCUGAUCCAGACAGUCGGGGCCGACCCCGGCGUUUGAGGAUGGCAUUGGACGACCAAAU